UCAUUUUUUUCCUUCUAUUUGAUUAAAAAGCUGCAUGUGUAUACGAUGAUCUUUAGUAUCGUCCAUUGCAUUAACAGUGAAAUUUCCUUUUAUACAUGAGCACUGUUUCAGACCUGUACUGCUGCUACAACAGCUAACCUUCCUGUUCUUCACUUACUGCCAAGACUGUUUCAGCAUAACUAAUUUUGAACAGUUUUCAGACAGUGAUUUGAGGAGUUUAUAAGAAACAUUGUUUUUCCAUGUAAAGCAACUCUUUCAAUGUAUAUAUCUAUAUAAUAGUGUGUUUCUUUUUAAAUUCAGGAUAGAAAAGUAAUAGAAUGCGAAAGUAUAGCUACAUUGCACCUGCCAUUGAAACAUUUGGGGUAUGAAAAUGUUCAAGCUUUUUUUUUCUUUUUGCAGUAUAGAUAAGCUUUGUCUUGUAAUUGCACAAGUCCAGUCAUUGAAUCAAAUUAAUUUUUUAUGUACUUGAAUCAUUUUAUUAAUCUUUAACAUUCAUGCUGAAGUUGAUAUUUUGUUGAAAACCAUUGUUUUACUCUGCAUAUUUGUUGGCUCUUUGCAUAUUAAUAUAUUAGACUACAUGCAAAUACAGUCUGUCUUGCCAUUGUCUGUUGAAGUGCAGGUUUGAUCCAGCCAGUAUAGAACUAGCUCUGUAGGGGUGAGGAGGACUGUGCUGUGUAUCAUCCUUGAUUGUGUUCCUUCAAGGAGCAUUGCACUGUAAGUACAUCAGAAUGACAAAUUGAUGAACUGCAACAGUAUCUUUUUGUCGAUGUUCCACAUAAUGCAAUUGCUAUAUUUUGUGUGACUAUUAUGUUGGAAUACAGUGCUGAUACCAUGGAAAACCAUAACUGCUUCUUAACAUAGAAUAAUACAUAGUUCUGUAUUUUUUUUUUAAGUGAGCUUAAUGGGUAAGUAUUUUUGAUAUGCUUUAGCUAAUAGCUAAAGAAAAAUGAUCAUUAACAAAGUUGAAUAGUAUUAUCAGUGCUCCUAAAAUGCUGUUUUUCAGUGUAAAAUAUGCAUAUCUUUUAUAGUGAUAUGAAAAACUUGAAAUGUUUAAGACAGAGUGGUUUUCAGUUUGCAAAAUUUAAGCAAUGUAGGACUUAACACCUUUUCCUAAAUGUUCUAUCAUCUGUGGGGAGCACCAUUCAUAUGAGGACAAAAAUGUUGAGGUUAUAGGGCAGAAAACAAACAGUACAGCUCAUUGUGGAUGUUUUGAAAUGUUUUUGAUUGUUUUAUGUACCUCAGUGACUUCCCUUACCCUUAUUUAGAUCCGGAUACAUAGUUCCAGUAUGAAGCUUAAUAGUAAUAGUUAAGGAGUUAUCUGUUAAGAUCUUAAGUGUAGGGUAUUGACGUGAACAAUUUCAGUAUUUUGCAUGAUGUUGUUGCAUAGAUGACUAGGAAAGUUGUGGUGCAUUUAGUAAUUAAACUGAAGGAAAUAGUUGGAUUCAGUAUCAUAAUUCACAAAUUGGAGGCUGUUGAUUUUGAUUCGUUUAAAAUUUAAAAUCUUUAUUAAUUGCAAACAGUGCAAUUAUUUAUACUUCACAGUGCCUUCCCAGACCUUCCACCUUAGGUUCUGCUGCAAAAAGCAACAGGUAAGCACAACCUAAGGACAUAUAUAAAUAUAUCAGUACAUUAAUGUUGUCCCUGUGAGGUUUUUGUGGUUGUGUACUCAAAAGCAAUCUGCUGCUGCUUCCCCAAAUGUACUUUGUCAUCUAUGGUACCAUAUUCUAGCGCACAGUCUGUAGGUCGUUCAAGCAACUGUUUACAGUUUUGGGUAAUGUUUUUUUUUUUCCAUUAAAAUAAAAUCAGUAGAUUGCUGCAAUAACUGAAAAAUCCAAAUCUUUUUGUACACCCCAACCCCCAGUUAUAGAAAUGUUACAGUAAGAACUAUUAAAUAGUUGACACUUAGGAAAUCAUUUUGUCAGAAAUUUCAACAGCCUUCACAGCCUGUCUGUAUGAAUAACAGGAAAUUUUCUUUGCCCUCCAAAUCUUUGACCUUUUCAUCGUUUUUUUUCCCCCUGUAUUAUUACUGCUUUAAACUAUAGUAAUUCAGUAAGAACAUUUUGAUUAGUUUCAUAGACAGUUCUAUUUUCAUGACUUGUAUUUGCCGACAAGGAAGAAUAAAGAAUACUGGCAGUAAGUUUUGAAAAAAGGCAUGUGCAUCAGUGAAAUGUUAAUUGUGUAGCAAAUAACCUUUCAUAAUCUGCAUAGCCAAUAGUUUCUGAUUUAUAAUAUUUUAAUAACUGACGCUGCAUUUAUUUGUUGCCAGUUUAGAGUGUUUGUGUUUAGGAAUGCUGUUGAACUAGUGCAUAAUUGAGUUAAAUGACUAUCUUAAAGCAGCACCUAUCCGUUGUCUCUUCAUUUUCUAAAUGUGCUGAUCCUAUUAAAACUCCUGCUUAUCUUGACAACAAAGAAAAAUAUUCAAAAAUGCUGCCUUCAUUUCCACACACAGUGCUGAAGAUGCUGCAAGCACCAAAGCUAGCAUAAGAUCAGGCCCUGAGGUAGUUCCCUAAGAGGAAGGAAGGAGCCUUGAGUGUAUGCCAUUGGUGAGCCGAUGAGCAUGGACCGUAGAAGGGCUCAAUGUAGAAGGUAAAACUGGCAAAUCAUAAUCGAGAAAUAUGAACUGUAUUCCCAUACAUAAUAUGGUAUAGGGUGUAAUGUUCCUGCUCUUGAUCACUUUGCAUUUUAAAGUGCUAUUCACUUAAAUGUUCCAUGAACUGUUUAAGUUUAUAGUUAUUGCACCACAGUGUAUGCGUGUGCGUGCGAGAGAGAGAGAGAGAGAGAGAGAGAGAGAGAGAGAGAGAGAGAGAGAGGGGUCAGGUCAGUAUGUUGCAAGCAGAUCUUUAGAGCCUAUCAAGUUUUGGUUAGUUGUAGUUUCUGUUUGCAAAUCUGGGAUGAAUGGUUGUAGAUACUAGAGACUGUUUGUAUCUUGUAAGAACUUUUAAUUCAUUACCAUAAACCACUGGUACUGUAAGCAUUUUAAAUAGCACCAGUCUUAACCUUUAUAUGGAAAGCAGAAAAGGUGAGCCAAUUGCUACGAAUGGGGCAGAUUUUAAAAUUGGUAGAAAAUUGAAUGGUUUAGAUUGAAAGUAAACUCAAUUAAAAGUUUACAGAUUAUUUUAAAUGCCAUACAUGUUAGUGUAGUGAUAUCUAGAAUUCUUUGAUGUAUGUCUCAGAAAUGCAUAUAUUAGAGAAUCAUUUUAAUAUUAAAACUGGUGACUUGAGAUUAUUGUAAAAUGUUUUCUUAAAUAUCUUGGUACUUAAUGGCUUUAGAUAGGAGUUAGCAAGUGCUCUCGGGGAAGUUUUUGUUCACUUGAAUACUUUCCCAUUACAAGUUCUUCCUGAAAAUAGUUACAUGUCUAGUGUACUGAUGUAGAAUUAACUCACUAAAGAUAAUCUCGUUUUAGUUCUGCAAAUUUUGCUUGGCUUUAAAAUGCAUUUUUAUAAUACUUAGAAAUAAUUUUGGCUGAAAAUAACUCGUUUAAUCAGUCAACUUACUACAAAUUUGAGGGAUUUUUUUAUUUAAACUGGUGCUUUAAAGAAGCAAAUUGAUCCCUGGGUUUUAUUUUCUUCAGUGAUAACCCUAAAGAAACUCUUUAAUGUGUUUGCGAGUAUAUAUAUUUUCUUAUGCAUGCUCGAUGCAUUUUCGUCCUGAGAAAAGUGUUCUCUACAGAAACUACCCGUGUGUUAACAGAAGAUUGGCUUAAAUGGCUACUGUGAUGGGAACAGUGUCUUAGGGAGAUGCAGCUUGGACUUGAGGUAAAUUGAAUACUUUACAAACUGGCUUAGAGUUUUUGCUUUCAUGACAUUGUAUGUAAAGGGUACAUGACUGUUGUAAUUUUGUAUUCUUUAUGGUUUCUUUAAUUAAAUAAAUGUACAGUGAUUACUAUUA
rnacentral:lncRNA from 1 species